AAAAAAACGGAGUAAUAGAUCUUAUUGUUGACAGGUUUCAAACACUAAAUAUAUGCCUUAGACAGAAAUUGCAUAAUGAAUUAAGAAACAUGAUUAGAUGAUGGGUUACAUAAUUAACAAUGUUAAUUUAACAUGAACACAAAGUAGACGUCCCUUCCACAAUGGAGAUUUUGUUGUUUCAAAGACAUACAAGGAGGUUUGAUUUCAUUCAUAACACAUUUCUAUGGAACUGUUUCUUAAAUAGUAGCGUGUUGGCUUUAAUUUGCGUUCUGAUUUCUGGUGGGCUUGUGGUGGUGGAUCUUCACCCACUUCCAUUUUCCUCCUUUUUGAAGCCUAUUCAUUCUUUUUGUUCCUUCCUUUCACAAGUAUUAUUGGGAUGAAGUUUUGUCCGACCGUUGGUUUUGACUAUCUGAAAAAUAAAACCAGUUUACAGGAAGAUUCUAGUUUUAGAACAGAGAAGGAAAAAAGAAGUAAAACUUGUUGAUGUAAAUUAUUUAGUGAAUGAAAAUCUAAGAGACCACAUUUUGAGUUUCAAAUUCGAAAAGAGUAUACCUAGAUGUGUGGUUAGAACAUUGCCUCGCAACUGUACCCAUAGACAUUGGUAGCAUAGGAAGAGAAGAGUGGUUGCCAUUAGAGUAUACACAUGUGAAGUAGAGCGGCCUUCGUCAUAAAACGAAAGAGAGACAUAAUAAACAAUUAAUAACCCAUUAGUUAAGGCUUUUGCAGGGAGAAGAAGAUAGAUUACACAUUUACACACGAAAAAUAGUAACUGUUAGUAAGAGCUUCUCUUAAUCAAAGAAGAAUCUGUGGUUUUUGUGGUUUCUUAGAAUCAAAGAUUUCAUAAUCGUAUCGAAUAUAUACGUAAGAAGAUGGAAGAGAGAUGGGGAGUUAGUGGAGAUCGUGGAGAAGCGGAAAAAUUAUAAACCCUAGUACAAAUAAAGGAUAUUUUGGGGAGGGUUUACAAAAUAAAAA
rnacentral:sRNA from 1 species